rnacentral:rRNA from 1 species
AUUGAACGCUGGCGGCAGGCCUAACACAUGCGAGUCAAAUGGUAACAGGAAACAGCUUGCUGUUUCGCUGACGAGUGGCGGACGGGUGAGUAAUGUCUGGGAAACUGCCUGAUGGAGGGGGAUAACUACUGGAAACGGUAGCUAAUACCGCAUAACGUCGCAAGACCAAAGAGGGGGACCUUCGGGCCUCUUGCCAUCAGAUGUGCCCAGAUGGGAUUAGCUAGUAGGUGGGGUAACGGCUCACCUAGGCGACGAUCCCUAGCUGGUCUGAGAGGAUGACCAGCCACACUGGAACUGAGACACGGUCCAGACUCCUACGGGAGGCAGCAGUGGGGAAUAUUGCACAAUGGGCGCAAGCCUGAUGCAGCCAUGCCGCGUGUAUGAAGAAGGCCUUCGGGUUGUAAAGUACUUUCAGCGGGGAGGAAGGGAGUAAAGUUAAUACCUUUGCUCAUUGACGUUACCCGCAGAAGAAGCACCGGCUAACUCCGUG